rnacentral:rRNA from 1 species
UACGAAGGGGGCUAGCGUUGUUCGGAAUCACUGGGCGUAAAGGGCGCGUAGGCGGCUUGGCAAGUCAGGUGUGAAAGGCCUGGGCUCAACCCAGGAACUGCACUUGAGACUGCCUCGCUUGAGUCCGGGAGAGGUGAGUGGAACUGCGAGUGUAGAGGUGAAAUUCGUAGAUAUUCGCAAGAACACCAGUGGCGAAGGCGGCUCACUGGCCCGGUACUGACGCUGAGGUGCGAAAGCGUGGGGAGCAAACAGG